AGUUCGGCGGCGCCGAGCGGGCUGGGGCGGCCUGUGCUCGGUGAUGCGCUGGAGCUGAGGCCGGGCCUGGGUGCAGGAACCUCAGCAGAAGCUCGCCCGCCGGUGCCUGCAGCCGCAGAUUCAUCACCUAAAAUGGAAACACCUGGCGCGUGGAAAGCCGGAACUUGCCUUCUCAAACCCGUCUUUCUCCCCGUGCCCCCCUCCUCCCUCGCGUCUGUCUCUGGCCGAGCAUCCUCCUCCCCCUGGUUCUUCCCCAAAAGUUAAGGAACUCUGCGCAGGAGGAGACCUCACGGUUUCCUUUUCCUGCCCUACAGUACGACUCCUUCGGCGCCACUUUAAGAUCCCUUCUUUAAAAAUCCCAUCUGAACGGCUUUUAAAAAUGUGUUGCUGUUGGGGGUUGCGGAGAAAAUUCAUUUUUCCAUGACUUUUCCAAUCAGGUACCGCAUUGGUGCAAAAUUCAUUUUUCCAUGACUUUUCCAAUCGGGUACCGCAUUGGUGCAAAAUUCAUUUUUCCAUGACUUUUCCAAUCGGGUACCGCAUUGGUGCAAAAUUCAUUUUUCCAUGACUUUUCCAAUCAGGUACCGCAUUGGUGCAGGCUUCUUCCCAAAGCAUGUGCCCAGGCCCAGUUCUGUGCAGAGAGGAUGCGGAACAGCAGGCUGAUAGGACUUUCUGGAGCUUCAGUUUUACUAUGAGAUUUGCAACAGCUGAAGUUCAGCAAUUUACAAGGAUCUCCAGAAGUGGAUGGCGCACUGGUUCUUGUUCUAGACCGUGACUUCAUUUUUUCCCUCCCAAUCUGUGGAAUCCUAAGCUGUGGGUUGGAUCCCCCAGUAGCCCUGGAAGGACUGCUGCAUGGAGGCUGGGCUUCUCUCCUUGAAAAUGUUUAUUGGAAAAGAAAAAUAAGUUGCCUUGCAUCAACUAACGGCCAUCAUGCUUGCUUUCAUUGAAGAGCGUUCGUAUUUAGUGUUUUUGUGGAGAUUUGCUCUCUUCGUAGCAUCCCAGCCCUGUGUGGAUUCGGCACACGGUCCCAUUUCUAUACCAGUGAUGGCACUGGGGGACUGUCACAGUCUAAUACUUGGUAUGGACCAAGUCCUGUGAACAUACUGGAAUUCUUGGAAGCCAUGUCCCUCUUUGGUAAUGCACAUGCCUGUGAAAGUUGGCUGCGGUGUGAUUCUAGACUCAAUCCAUCUUGUCCUUUUUCCCAGCUGUGGCGGGCAAUUGGCAUUUCUGAUAUUAGAAACUAAAAAUGCUAGUAAACCACAGAAAGAAAAGUCCUCUCGCUUGUGAGAGUGUCAACCUGCACUUCAGCCUUAUUCCUUAAUCACCCUGGAGGAAGGGAGUCUGUGGAACAUGGAAAUAUCUGGACCUAGAGCCAAUCUGUGAGAAGCUAAAUAGUAAAGGCCUGGAGCCGAGGAGAGUGUCUUUGCCCUGCUUCUGCAAUCCCCGUGCAAAAUAAUUACCAAGCACGAUGUUGAAACGAAUGCUUUUUAUGAAUAUAAACCUUAAAAUCAAAGCCUUAUUAAUUCCCUUAUUCACAAAUGGGGACAGUAAAAUGCCAGAUUCUUUUAAAACUUCAGAUUUUCUAACCUUCCUGGCUUCUGCUCUUCCAAGGAAGCACCCCGAGCUUUGAAAAGGAGGCAGUCCUCUCAGACAGGAAUGUCCAGUAGAAACAGGAGGUGAGCCACGUCUGUAGUUUUACAUUUUCAGCAACGUUACAGCAAAUAAAAAGAAACAGGUGAAACUGACUGUAAUACUAUUAACUUAUUUAGCCUAAUGUAUGUAAAAUAUUAUCUUAAGGUGUAAUCAACAGAAAAGUUUUGAUGAAAUAUUUUCCCCUUUUUUUUGUAUUGAAUCUUUGAAAUUCACUCUAUUUUGCACUUUUCAGCACCUCAUAACUUAGAGGAGCCACAGUCUAGGUGCUGAGUGCUCAUGUUGAGAGGCUGCCCCCCUGGAAGGGUGACUCUUCUCGACCUCAGGGAGGUGACUUGCCUGAACAUCCCCUUCUCUUCCAGAGGUGUCACCCCUUCCCUGCCAACCUCUCUCCUUGGCCCAAGGUGAGAAGAGAUGGUGCCCUGAGAAGAAGUUUCCCAAAGUAGACCAGAGCUUCCCAAUUGCUUCUUGGGGGGUCCAUUCCCCCUUCCCAGAGGUCAGACAGUGUGGAGAGGAAGGUUGGGAACUCUGUGUCUUCAGAUCUAUCUUCAGCCUUGGUCUCCAGAGUUUAGAUUUGGAGGGAAUAAAAGGAAACUUCUUAUUUUGCAAUCUGGCCUUGAGCCCUAGUGGUCAGGCUCUGGUCACCUAUUCCCUCUUGCAGUGUGCGGUUUUGUGUGAGUUUAAGCACCAAUCACAUACAUCUGCAUCUACAUAUUUAUUUCUGUUUAACUCAAGAGAUGCAACUUUCUAUAAAGGAAGAAGGAAAUCAGCACCUAUAGGAUGCCUACUGUUUGCCAAGUAACUUAUAACUAAUACAUCAUUGCAUCUUGACAUCUUAUCUGCAACUGAUGUAUUAGUUAGCUAUUGAGUAACAACCCGCCCCAGUACUUACCUAGCUCAUGACUGAGCUGGUCAGCAGCUUAGGCUGGGCUCAGCAGGACCCGUCUGGUGUCUGCUCGGCUCCUCCAUGCAUGUGUGGUCAGCUGCUGGUUGACCAGGGGGCUCUGCUGCUGAGGGGUGAGUUGACUGUCAAGGGGGCACCGUGGUUCUCUUCCUCAUGGCAUCUCAUCCUCCAGCUAAGGCUGGACCUGGAGCCUCUCCAAGGCUAACAUGGACUUGGAGACAGCUGUAUUCUGAAAGGAAAAACAGAAGCAUCUAAGACUGGCCUACUGUCAAGGUCCCACUGCAUUCUCUUGGCCAGAGCAAGUAAGACCAGAUCUGAUGCAAAGUUCGGAUGAAGAGAGUCUGCCUCUGAAAGGGAGCAGCUGUAAAAUCUCAUUGCAGAGGGUGUGCGCUGCCAGGAAGAAUGAAUUGCUGCUGUUUUUGUAAUCAGUACCCUUAUGCCUCUUCUUGCAAGAGGUUUAUACAACUGUCGUCCAAGUCAAGAAGUCUGUCCAAAGCCCCAGAGCUACUAAGUGGCUGGGCUGGGACCCUCCUGACUCCACCUGACUGCAGAGCUCCCCUGACUCCACUAGUUCAUACUGCUCCUGCAGCUUCCCUAGUCAUCGGAGGUUCUAGAAAGUGAGACUUCUGCAAUAGAAGCAGAAUUCCCUUGAAAUCGGCGUCCAUCUCAUACUCUUCACAUGGGGAAUAAUCCCCUUCAGAGAAUGCUGAGUGUCUUGGAAAGACUUGGGAUAAUUUAGGGAAAUGGCUGAGGCCUGAGUUUAGGAAAUCAAGUCUUCAGCAAUACAGUUUUCCUUUCUAAUCAUAGGAGAAAUUUGAAAACAUGUAUAAUGCACUCCACAUGUUUGCAAAUUCUUUUCAUCCCUUUUUGGUAUCUGUAGGCCAUUAAUGAUUUUCAACACAGACUAAAUCAAACUGCUGUGCCCGGAGCAACCUCCUAUUCUAAAAGCAACUGACAUAAAGAUAGAUCUGCUAAGAAGACAUUUCCUCCUAUUGUAGUUUAGACAAAUAGCUGAGUUAUCUGAAGUAGUCCUUUGAUUUUAACAGGGCAGAGCUGUUUUCUAAAACCCCAGAGCGCACACACAUCACUUACAGCAGAUGCAUCCCUGGCCUUGAAUCUGUGGUCCUCACCACGGGCUCCUUAUUAAGUCAGCAGGGGGGUGGGCAGUGGCUUUUGAAAUUCCCAGAACCCCGGGGCGCGAUCCUGGAGAUUGGGGCGCGAUCCUGGAGGCGGGGCGCGAUCCUGGAGACCCAGGAUCGAGUCCCAUGUAGGGAGCCUGCUUCUGUCUCUGCCUCUCUCUCUGUGUCUAUCAUGAAUAAAUAAAUAAAAAAUCUUAAAAAAAAGAAUCAGAUGCUGAAAUUCCCAGAACCCAAAUUACAACAGAUCAAUCAAAUCCAAAUCCCUGGAGUGGGACCUGGGCAUCAGCAUUUUUAGAGCUCUUCAGGUGAUCACAGUGUCUGACCAAGGCUGAACAGCACUGCUUUAAACCAACAUCACUGGGUCAACUAGUUGCAAAUAGUGGAUUAAAUAAAGUGUAAAAAUGUUUGCCGGUGAGUGUAACCUUUCGGUCUUAUCUACCAUCACCUGCUCACUCUCCUGUGCACAAACAAGCCUCUUGUACUAGGUUGGUUCCCGUCCACACAGCUACACGAGUAUGGUGUAUACCACGUGCAAGGCACUGCGCUAGGUGUCCUGGUGCUGGUAAACAUCUUUGGAAAUGAGGACUUCUCUGGAAAAAAAAAAAUGCAUCAUAAAAAAUCAAAACCAUGUGACUUACCAAAUU